UUUUGAUGUCUAGUUUCUUGAGUUCUUUAUGUUUGGGAAAUCAGCCCUCUUUCAGAUGUGGGGAUGGUGAAGAUCUUUUCUCAUUCUGUAGGCUGUAGGACGUCAUCUUG